AUUGAACGCUGGCGGCAGGCCUAACACAUGCACGUCGAACGAGUGGCGGACGGGUGAGUAAUGUCUGGGAAACUGCCUGAUGGAGGGGGAUAACUACUGGAAACGGUAGCUAAUAUCGCAUACUAUUAGAUGUGCCCCGAUGGGAUUAGCUAGUUGGUGGGGUAACGGCUCACCAAGGCGACGAUCCCUAGCUGGUCUGAGAGGAUGAUCAGCCACAAUGGAACUGAGACACGGUCCAGAAUCCUACGGGAGGCAGCAGUGGGGAAUAUUGCACAAUGGGCGCAAGCCUGAUGCAGCCAUGCCGCGUGUAUGAAGAAGGCCUUCGGGUUGUAAAGUACUUUCAGCGGGGAGGCGUUACCCGCAGAAGAAGCACCGGCUAACUCCGUGCCAGCAGCCGCGGUAAUUC
rnacentral:rRNA from 1 species